ACGACCGGCAGCUACAACAGGGGCGUCAUUUUCGGAUGGCUAUGUCUCCGUUUAACUUAAUUUCACCAAUCAUUGCUUACAAGCGAUGUUCUCCUCUUCUUAUCGAUGUUGUUCCUCUGUGCUCUAUCGACUGGUUUCGUUACCUUUUUCGUUCCAAGCUUGAAUCUUGUGGCUGAUCUGCAAAUGGCUGGUGGAGACAUACAUCCAGGUGACAAUGUCAUCCCGCAUUUUGAAAGCUCUGAUUCUGAGGAUUCAUCCAGUCCCUCGGUUGACCAGGAGGCAUAAUUAAAUUAAAACUAAUGUCCUAGAUAAUCUUGUGUAAUUAAAAAUGUGUUUCUCCAUGCCCAUAUUCAUCCAGUUGUACACAUGCUACAAGUUUAAUAUCGAGCAUUUUCUGAUUAUAAUAAUUCUAUUUUAUC